UACGAAGGGGGCUAGCGUUGCUCGGAAUUACUGGGCGUAAAGGGAGCGUAGGCGGAUAGUUAAGUUGGGGGUGAAAGCCCGGGGCUCAACCUCGGAAUUGCCUUCAAUACUGGCUAUCUAGAGUAUGGGAGAGGUGUGUGGAACUCCGAGUGUAGAGGUGAAAUUCGUAGAUAUUCGGAAGAACACCAGUGGCGAAGGCGACACACUGGCCCAUUACUGACGCUGAGUCUCGAAGGCGUGGGGAGCAAACAGG
rnacentral:rRNA from 1 species